rnacentral:rRNA from 1 species
GACAGAGGUGCCAAGCGUUAGGCGGAAUCACUGGGCUUAAAGCGUGUGUAGGUGGAAGCGUAAGUACCUUGUGAAAUCCCACGGCUCAACCGUGGAACUGCUUGGUAUACUGCUUAUCUUGAGCCACUUAGGGGCUACCGGAACAAAUGGUGGAGCGGUGAAAUGCGUAGAUAUCAUUUGGAACGCCAAUGGUGAAAACAGGUAGCUGGGAGUGUGCUGACGCUGAGACACGAAAGCCAGGGGAGCGAACGGG